UACGAAAGGUGCAAGCGUUACUCGGAAUCACUGGGCGUAAAGCGCACGUAGGCGGACUCGCAGGUCAGUUGUGAAAUACCUGGGCUCAACCCGGGAACUGCAGCUGAAACCGCUUGUCUUGAAUACCUGAGAGGGUGGGGGAAUACCUGGUGGAGAAGUGAAAUUCGUAGAGAUCAGGUGGAACACCGGAGGCGAAGGCGCCUGCCUGGCAGUGUAUUGACGCUGAGGUGCGAAAGUGCGGGGAGCAAACAGG
rnacentral:rRNA from 1 species